ACGAACGCUGGCGGCGUGCUUAACACAUGCAAGUCGAACGAUGAAGAAAAGAAUCGAAGCUUCGGCAGAAAUUCAUUUCGGAUUAGUGGCAGACGGGUGAGUAACGCGUGAGCAACCUACCUCUUACAAAGGGAUAGCCUCGGGAAACCGGGAUUAAUACCAUAUAACAUUGCGACGAAGCAUUUCGAUGCAAUCAAAGCUAUGGCGGUAAGAGAUGGGCUCGCGUCCCAUUAACCGGAUGGUGAGGUAACGGCUCACCAUAGUGACGAUGGGUAACCGGCCUGAGAGGGUGAACGGUCACACUGGAACUGAGACACGGUCCAGACUCCUACGGGAGGCAGCAGUGGGGAAUAUUGCACAAUGGAGGGAACUCUGAUGCAGCGACGCCGCGUGAGUGAUGAAGGAAUUCGUUUCGUAAAACUCUGUUCUAUGGGAAGAAAAGGACUGUACCAUAGGAGAAAGCUCCGGCUAAAUACGUG
rnacentral:rRNA from 1 species